UACAGAGGGUGCGAGCGUUGUCCGGAAUUACUGGGCGUAAAGGGCGCGUAGGCGGGAUGGCAAGUCGGUCGUGAAAUCCCUCGGCUCAACCGAGGAACGUCGAUCGAUACUGCUGUUCUUGAGGAUUGCAGAGGAGACUGGAAUUCCCGGUGUAGCGGUGAAAUGUGUAGAGAUCGGGAGGAACACCGGUGGCGAAGGCGGGUCUCUGGGCAAUUCCUGACGCUGAGGCGCGAAAGCGUGGGGAGCAAACGGG
rnacentral:rRNA from 1 species